UGACGCUUUAUACUUCUCUAUCUCACUAAUUAGUUACAUCAUGAGGAGAUAAGUUGUUGGUCGAUAGAACCAUAGUGUGCUCAGCCAUUUUCCUGGCAAAUAAGGGCUGAAGUGUUUCUUCUUCUGAAAGUUGGAAAUGAUUCCCACUGAUUACGGUUGCCGCUCCGCUCCUUCCUCCGUGCGGCGCAUGGUUUUGAGAGAGCUGACAGGAAUGAACAAGAAAGAAGAAAUGUGGAGAGCACCAGGACUAGGCCUGCAGCCAUGGUGACCUUCAACGCCUGGGAGUGGCAAGCUGAAGCAUGUCCAAUGCUCUACAGGACAAAACAACACAUCGUUGUGCACGCCACAUGCAUAUGUUGGCCUUAGACAUCACUUGCCCAAAUUCAAGAGAGGAGCCAAGGUAUUUUUGUAUACAUUGUGCUGUUAUUCAGCAAGCAACCUACAUCUUUUAUCGCUU